rnacentral:rRNA from 1 species
GUGCAGCAGGCGCGAAACUUUACAAUGUGCGAAAGCACGAUAAGGGAACUCUGAGUGCCUCCUAAGGAGGCUGUUCAGGUGUCUAAAAGCACCUGAAGGAAGGGCUGGGUAAGACCGGUGCCAGCCGCCGCGGUAACACCGGCAGCCCAAGUGGUAGCCACGUUUAUUGGGUCUAAAGCGUCCGUAGCCGGCUGGGUAAGUUCCUUGGGAAAUUUGGCUGCUUAACAGUCAAGCUUUCAGGGAAUACUGCUCGGCUUGGGACCGGGAGAGGUCAGAGGUACUCCAGGGGUAGGGGUGAAAUCCAUUAAUCCUUGGGGGACCACCGGCAGCGAAGGCGUCUGACCAGACCGGGUCCGACGGUGAGGGACGAAGGCUAGGGGCGCGAACCGGAUUAGAUACCCGUGUAGU